GCAUUCCUCAGGCCUUAUCUCUCUGGUUCUUUCUGCUACAUUUGACACCUUGGGAUGACUCUCACCUUCUGGAAUCUCUCUACUACCUUGGUUUCAGAAGAGUGAACCCUCUCGAUUAUCACAUGAAGAUGUUUUGAGAAUGGUGAAAAAAGGAAUUUGGACACUGGCUUUAGAGGAAGUGCUGAGUCACCAGGAAAGGCUUGAGCAUGUUUAUGGGUUGAGGGAAAAGAAGGUGCAAGAAAAAAGGAGAAACCCAAGAUAGGCGAGAGAAAGGGAGUGGAACAGUCUGGAGAAGUCCUGGAAGGCUUACUGGUUCUCAAGUCAUGAUGAUUCUGGGUCCAAGCGCACUGCUUCCCCCCUCUGAUCCUACUCACUGUAAGCACCAACCCUGAUUGCAGCUGCAUGGAGGUAACAGUCAUACUAGUAAGGUCUGACGUCACUUCUCAGAAAGGCUAUUUUGCAUCUUCUCCAUCCUCAAAACCCCCAUCUUUGCAUGCCCUUCCCUCUCACUGUCCCCUUACCUCCUAUUUCACUAAGAAAACAUACACCAUCAAGAGGAAAAAUCCUCAUCUUCCCACCCGCAAAUCUGCACAUCAUCCUACAUUGGCCCCAGGAUCUAUUUUCCCACUCCAGAGAGGCAAAGCCUCCUCCUAACAGAGCUAGCUCUCCACAAAAUGACCACUGUUAGGCCAACUCCAGGGGCUAGGCCUCCCCAAAAUAUUACUGUUGCCAAAUCCGGAGGACACUUUGCAGGCCUUAUCUUUCUAGUUCUCUCAGCAGCAUGCAUCUCCUAUCCUUGAGACACUUCGCUGUUAGUUUUGAUAACACACUCUAUUUUGGAAUUCCUCCUCCCUGUUUCUCUUUGUCUACUCCGUCUCAGCCUCCGCAGGUGCUUCCUCUGUCCUUCUCUAAAUGUUGCUGUUCCCCAAGGCUCAACCCAGGAUCCAUUCCUGUGUCUACACAAGGAAGGAGGUACUAUUAUUUCUGCUUACAGAUUGAGGAAAGCUUAUUUCUGCUUGCAAAUUGAGGAAGAUCAUUUCCGCUUACAAAUUGAGGAAAGCUUAAAAAUCCCAUUUUACAGAAUGGAAAAAGAGGUGUUCAAUAACUCACGCAAAAGCACAGCCAGGAUUCAAACCCAGACACUUUGCUCCAGAGCCAAACUCUUGACCACUAUAACCAAAUGAAGCCAGAGUGAUUCACCAGAGUGAGUUCAUCUCGCAUCAGAACUCUGGAUUAUCUGUUUAAGCACCCAGACUGCCACCUCCUCAUGAGCCAGGACCUUCCUCAGCCACAUCUGGAUCCUCAGCCCCUCACAGCACACAGCGGUAGUCAGAAAGUAUGCUGAGUAAGUGGAGAACAAGUUAACAUUGAUUUUCACAACCACGAUGUCAGACUAGCAAUGGAAUUGUUUUGAUUCUCCUUUUAUAGAGAAGAAAAAUGAGAUUCACAACUUCACAAGAGGGAGUGUCUUAUCUAAGAAUCUCUGACUGAGUUCAGCCCUUGUUUGUAUUCCCUCUGCUGUCUCCACAAAAGGUUAGAGGUCACAUGUUUAGAUUAUGAAGACCUUUUGCCAUUAAAAAAUGGCAAAACAAGCAAACAAAACAAACACAGCACUCAUUGCCUUUCCUAGAAAAACUGUCCAUUAAAAGUACUUUGAGGCCGUGC